AGAGUUUGAUCCUGGCUCAGGACGAACGUUGGCGGUGCGCUUAAUGCAUGCAAGUCGAGGGAGAACCAUUCGAUCCGUAAGGACUGGAUGGGGAAACCGGCGAACGGGUGCGUAACACGUGAGGAACCUGCCCCGAAGACCGGGAUAGCCCGAGGAAACUCGGAUUAAUACCGGAUACCCUCUUUGGACCACAUGGUCCGCUGAGGAAAUGGUCCGCCGCUUCGGGAUGGCCUCGCGGCCUAUCAGCUUGUUGGUGAGGUAACGGCUCACCAAGGCAAAGACGGGUAGCUGGUCUGAGAGGACGAUCAGCCACACUGGGACUGAGACACGGCCCAGACUCCUACGGGAGGCAGCAGCAGGGAAUAUUGCACAAUGGGCGAAAGCCUGAUGCAGCGACACCGCGUGCGGGAUGACGGCCUUAGGGUUGUAAACCGCUUUCAGGAGGGAAGAAAAUGACGGUACCUCCAGAAGAAGCUCCGGCCAACUACGUGCCAGCAGCCGCGGUAAUACGUAGGGAGCAAACGUUGUCCGGAUUUAUUGGGCGUAAAGGGCUCGUAGGCGGUUCAACAAGUCGAUCGUGAAAGCCCGGGGCUCAACCCCGGGAGGCCGGUCGAAACUGUUGUGACUAGAGUUCGGUAGAGGUGAGUGGAAUUCUCGGUGUAGCGGUGGAAUGCGCAGAUAUCGAGAGGAACACCAUUA
rnacentral:rRNA from 1 species